rnacentral:rRNA from 1 species
UACGUAGGGUGCGAGCGUUGUCCGGAAUUAUUGGGCGUAAAGAGCUUGUAGGCGGUUUGUCGCGUCUGCCGUGAAAUUUCGGGGCUCAACCCCGAACUUGCGGUGGGUACGGGCAGACUAGAGUGUGGUAGGGGAGACGUGGAAUUCCUGGUGUAGCGGUGAAAUGCGCAGAUAUCAGGAGGAACACCGAUGGCGAAGGCAGGUCUCUGGGCCACUACUGACGCUGAGAAGCGAAAAGCAUGGGGAGC